rnacentral:tRNA from 1 species
GAGGGUAGAGCUCAGUGGUAGAGCACUUGCUUAGCAUGCGUGAGGUCCUAGGUUCAAUCCCCAGUACCUCCA